AGUGAACGCUGGCGGUAGGCCUAACACAUGCAAGUCGAACGGCAGCACAGUAAGAGCUUGCUCUUACGGGUGGCGAGUGGCGGACGGGUGAGGAAUACAUCGGAAUCUACUUUUUCGUGGGGAUAACGUAGUGAAACUUACGCUAAUACCGCAUACGACCUACGGGUGAAAGCAGGGGAUCUUCGGACCUUGCGCGAUUGAAUGAGCCGAUUUCGGAUUAGCUAGUUGGCGGGGUAAAGGCCAACCAAGGCGACGAUCCGUAGCUGGUCUGAGAGGAUGAUCAGCCACACUGGAACUGAGACACGGUCCAGACUCCUACGGGAGGCAGCAGUGGGGAAUUUUGGACAAUGGGCGCAAGCCUGAUCCAGCAAUCCCGCGUGGGUGAAGAAGGCCUUCGGGUUGUAAAGCCCUUUUGUGGGGAAAGAAACGGAAGAGGUUAAUACCCCGUUCUUAUGAGGGUACCCAAAGAAUAAGCACCGGCUAACUUCGUG
rnacentral:rRNA from 1 species